CUUGGAUCUCACAUCUGACAGCACUGUAUUCCCCUUGUUUGGAUUCCUGUGUUUGGUGGAACAUCCCAUUGUCCCACACUCUAUUUCUCUUUACUGUUCUCUGCUCCCUGAAAAUAUAGCUGGGUAUAAGGUGGAAACCAUAUACUUCCAAGUUUAAAAGUGUUAAGAGGGUCUCUGUGAACUUUGUACACAAUUUUCCAGCAGAAGAUGCAAUAUUUUAUAAGGUGGACAGAACUAGUUUGAACUGGAAUGGAAGAAUGCAGAAGACAAGGGCUACUACAGUAUGUAAUUCGAUACUGUGUUAUAUAGGAAUGCGUGCUGCAGACCUACAGUAAGUAACCAAUUGUGUUAAAAGAAGUGAUCUUUAGCAAAUAGGGAGGUGGGAGGAUGUGUAUGAUUUUGGAACACUGUAUGCACAGGGAAGUGUGAUAGAGAUCAGGAAUAUAUUUAUGGACUAUUGUAGUUUAAUUAUCUUGAGAAAAAUACACAGGACAUCUCUGAGUGCUUUGCUCCCAUGCGCAUUAAAUAAAAACGUCUUUUAACUUCUGAGACGGACCCCUGACUGCCUUUCAAGGGGAAGCAGGGGACAAAUUCCUCCAACAAAAGAAUGUGCCAUUCAGUUUUGAUUUCAUUCAUUUCCACCGAGAGGAUGUCUGCUUGUCUUUGAGGUAUGUUUUCUCUUAUGCAAUCUGAAGUCCCAGAAUAGACCCCCACCCCCUCUCCCUUAUUUCUCUGUAUGAUGCAAAGGAAACCUGAGUGCCAAAAACAACAAAAGAACAGAAAUCGAAACACUGCAUGGAGUAUGAUUAUUUAUAUCCUCACUUUGCUGUUUCUGGACUGCAAAGAGUUUUCAUUGUUUUAGGAAUUCAGAUCUGGAUUUGUUAAGAAAAGAAAAUUCCUAUUUUGAUAGGAAUCCCAAUCCUAGUGCUGCUGGUUUUUGUUUCAUUCCAGGUUUCCUUUACACCACUGCACAUUUGAUUCAUUUCAUUUGACAUUUAUUUUGAACUGUUCCCAGCUCUUAAACAUGCAGGCGGUUGCCUUUAACUAUCCAUCUGGCCAGCACAUUUCAAAGGCAAAAUACAAUCCCAGACCUUUAAGUAAAAAAAAAAACAAAACUUGUCACUUUUCCAAUCAAGCAACUCGUUAGUUCAAUUAACGCUCCAAUUAGGUAAUUAAGCUCGGCUGGAAUGAAAACGAGCAAAAGAGGUUUUUGAAGUUUCUCUUAAGUCUAAACGGAACAACUUGUUAAUGAGCCCAAUACCAAUACUAAAUUGAUAUUGCCACUUAAUUACCAUGUGGGGACAGACAAUGCAGUAGUCUUAUGCGAAUUAAAAAAAAAACACUUUUUUUUCCCAAUUUUGUUAGAAUAUACCUCUCAUUUCCUUAUUUUCACAAUUACAUCAUCUGCUGAUUAAAUUAAUUGGCAGGCUGUUCUCCAUACCUCCAACCUACGAACUCGUUAGAUCACCUGUCAGUGCAACUCUUUUCUUCAAGACAAGACGCAGAGCUUUCAACCCGGAUAACUUCAAAUUAUCCCUGGAGCCUUUUUUGUUUUCAAAAUUCACUGAGGAUUACAGCAUUUUCCAGUCCCAGUUUCCUUUUUAAGGCUUGAAAGUAACCUGCUGUCUUGUGUUUAGGAAUUCAUUACAAACCAAACUAAUGGAAAAUCCUACUGGAUCGGCCUUACUGAUAUGGCUGAAGAAGGCGUCUGGCGCUGGGUGGAUAAUCGUUCUUUGAAUGAAACGUACUGGAAUGACAAGCAACCCGAUCUUCGCCAAAAAAAACAGGACUGUGUCUUCGCCAACCCCAAAGCCAAAGGCUUGACCACCUGGCAUGACCACCACUGCAGCACCAAUAUUUACAGGAUCUGUGAAGUUAAUGCACAGAGUCUCCACAGCUGGGUGUGCUGGACUGCACUGCGAAGAGCAGUAUUCCGCUUCUUGAAUUUAAACUAAUAUAAAUUCAUCUUAUCAUUUUGCAUCAAAUUCAGCAAUUCUGCUUUGGCUCUGCAUGGAGUCUAGGGUAAAAAUAUAAUUCUCCUUUCUGACUCAUUAAGUGCAUGAGAAUAUUGGAGACUACGAAGGAUUUCAGUGCAUCUGUUCAGUAAAUCAAACCGUGUAGUUCAGUUUCAUUUUCCACAAACAUGGCUGGAGAGCUUGUUCCACACUCCCACCACCCUUUGUGUAAAUAUAUUUUUUUUUGUGUAAAUAUGUUUUCUCAGAUUUAAAUGCAUUCUAUGGGUGGUUUAGCACCAGGUUUUCCAAAAUCAUGUUUAACCACUCUGUCUCUAGAUGUUGAAAUCCUUUUGCAAUAUUCUACUGCUCUGUAUCCUGAUUGCUAAAUGGUUUUUCAAAGGGCAUAAGGAAUCGUUAAACCUUUGACAUUUGUAGAACUAAAUUUAAACCUCUUGCACUUUAACAUCUUAGCCAUUUUUAAUUUUGGCUUUGUGUAUGUUUUUAUCUUCCAUUGCUUAUUUAUUUUAGCCGGUUUUAUUCCAAGGAAGGGCUUAUGUCUUUGUGUUGCAUGAAAGAUGCUACAUGUGUUUAAUUUAGAUGUACAGUAGAAGGUGCUGUAGCCUUUCCUGAUGCAGGUAUUUUGUGAUUAAUGUGCUAUUUCAAAUCAAAGAAAGCUAAUGUAAAAACAGAAGGCUGUUUUGCAAUCGAAAUAAAGGCAAACUUAACAUUGUAUAUGACACGUUUUCUGAUGCUGAAACUGAAAUUGAAAAUAAAUGUGUGACGCAAAGAGAAGUAUGUAAAGUUAAAGCUGCAAGAUCAUAGCAGGAGAUAUUUUCACAAGGUUUACUUGAGGUUUUGGGAGACCUGGUUACUGUUGUAAAAAAUGAAAUUACAGGAAAAGAUUUAAUUGUGUCAGGUUGUCCAAUGGAAUGACUGUAAUGAUACAAACUAGCCACUAGCUGCCAAAAUACAGCCGAGAAGGCAUUUGAGAAUUAGUUUAAACCUAGUGUUCAGAGUCACAAUUGUAGUUGGUUGGAUUUUUACAGUACGUUGUUGAGAGGGAGUUCUUAUGUUAAAAAAGAGGCAAGUUUUAAAACUUUGUUUGAGGCUUGGAGCUCUCGUGGACUUUAAGCAGCUGUUUCGUGUGUGUUGUGUGAGUAUGGAUUCCCUGAACCACUCUUUUAGAAGAGUCUACAUCAAAAUCUAACAACACAAUGUGUGUCUAUUACAAACAUAGUUUGAGCGAGGGGCUGCUGGUGUGCAGGUCUCGCUAAGGAAAUUCCACAGUGGAAUCAGGAGUCAAAACGAGAAGAAGCUUCUAAUCAGCAUAAAAUAGUAAUAACCGAAUCACCCCAGUGUUUACUGGUAUGGGUGGUAUGUCUGCAAUUAACUUCCAUAUUUGGAAAAUGAUCAGACAUUUUGCCACAUAGAGCAACUGCAAUUCUGUGGUUAAAAAGCACAAGCUUUCUUGAAUAAAAAAGAAGACAAUUUGUUCAUUUAUGUUUAGGAAAUUAGGGUAAUUGAAAUUAAGUCCAAAGAAUCUGGUGAUUUAGGAAUGACGUAUACGAAUCUAUUGGACUGGGACUCUCUAGGAGUCCCCUAUUAUAUAGACUUAGCCUGUGUAUCAGUGCCCAGAGAGUUGGUGGUAUAGUGUGAUUGUAUCUUGGUGUGCAUUUAUUGACGUAGACAACGGAUGGGUCAUGUUACAGCAUUGACACCAAAAAAGGAGAAGUAGUUGAGUGUGAAAUAGAGUAAGGACUCUUCCUUCCACCCUUUCUUCCUGUUUUAAGUAAUAUUUUGUAUGUGAAUCUGCAAAGAAUACCAGCUUGACAGUUGUUCCUGCCAUUCUGUGAGCCAGCUCAGUGUCAGAUUGCCUGGUCAUCAAGCAAUCAGUUGUUCGGUCAGUCGGUCAGUGGAUCAGAGUUUACCAAUGCUUGAGGAGCUUUCUUACUCAUCUGUGAGGUUCACAAAAAACUCUAGCCCCACAGGACGAGUGAGGGAAGAUGAGGUGACCUACGCAGAAGUGAAAACAGCAAGAUUUUCCCCAAUCCAGACGUCUCCUCCUCCUCACCCAGCAGGUCAGGCAACCUCUGAUUUAACCCAGUUCUUUUUUAAUUGGUACCGUGGCGACUUAAAACACUAGUUUCCACUGUGAAUCCAAGGCCCUGGAUGAAACUGGACUGCAGCUCUUUGGAAUAGCUGUAUAAUCCUUAACACUGCCGAACGCUAGAUAAGUACUGUGGAUUCUUGCAAGAUUGCUAAUAAGGGUGAAACAGCUGUCUGUAAAACUUUCCUAGAUGGUGAAUUCUGCUCUUUAAUAUUGUGGAACAGUCAGACAUAAUGCUCACAUAAUCUAACGAUUCAUAGGUGUUUUGUAAAAGCUGGUGUCAGUGCAAGAAUCUCUAGUUUAAACAAUUUGGGGGAUGGAGUCCUUCUCCUUUAUUUGAACAUGCAGCGUUUCUUUACUAAUAGAAACGUCAUCAGGUUUGCAAUAUCUGUGAGACCAGGAGAUAUGACUGCCUCUGUACCGAUGCUUGAAAGUUUUUCAGUUGAAAUAAGGAACACUUUUGCAGCUGAAAUACGGAACAGUCAACAACGACAACAAAAAAGAAAGCAAAUCAAAAUACUUAGCUGAGCUUUUCAAAACCUGGAGAACAAGAUGGCAAAUUGGGAAGGAAGUUCUGCUGCUUAAAGGGAUUUAAUGGUGCUACUGAAAAGUUAAAGGAACAUGCAGACAUCUAAAGUAAGUGAUGUGCUUUUUGUCUGGAAAUAACCCAGUCAAAGUACAGUCCUUGCCCUCGACUGGCAUUCCGACUGCUGAGAUAGAGCAGUCUGUAUUCAGUCUUAAUAGUGCACCCACUGGUCCGGGCAGAAGACACUGCACAGCUAUCAGAUUGACAGUCGCAGCUCUCUUCUGCAACAAGUGCACCUCUAUUGUGUUCCAUGUCACAUCUGACACUGUGGAGCCCCAGCAGAUAGUGAGCACAGUAGGCUGUAGCAGCAACAGUAGUAAAUGCAUCUUUUCCACACCCAUCAGUACUGACAAUAUGCUGAGCCCCAGGAUUGAGCAGUAUACUGCACUUAAGGAGAAGGCUGUUGGCAAAACCUUGCUCCCCACCAGACCAGAGCCCCUGUCACUCCCUGGCUAAAUCGGAGGACUGGAUGUGCACAGAACCACCCAACCAUCCUGAGCAUUGCAGUGGAUCGAACGUUUCCACCUUAUAAACUCUGCACUAGCAGAGGCAGAGCUGCCCUGCCACACAGCGCUAACGUCCAGCCCUCAUCUGCCAGCAGGGAUGACCGGCUGUCUGCCCUCCCGCCUUCCUCUGUCUGCAUGAUCCUCUGUCAGUAUCCAUCUAUCCAUCUAUCCAUCUAUCCA